AAGCAUUGCCAUGUAGAGUCAUAAAACGAAGGUGGGGAAGACGUCUGUGAGCUGCCUGGAUUAGAGCCCCGAUCUACCUGGGCAGAGGGCGAGGGUGGAGGGAGCGGUCAUCCGUGACGGAGGUACCAAGUCAACCCAUCCCUGGUUGGCCUCAGGUGUCCAGGGCUACAGGGAGGUGCCUUUGGCAGUUUCAAAUUUCUGCAGAUGCCAGCAGGGCGCAGCCCCAAGGUCAGCCUACGCGGCAGUUGCCACACAGAGCCCGGAGAGAAGGGGCCGCGCUGCUGUGUGGGGCUGGCAUUGCCCCGCGCCGCCUCCGGCUCCUGCUGGCCUCCCCCUUGGUCUUCUGACCUUGUUCCAGGCAAGGCCUACUUUUUAUGUUCAAAUAUCCUACAACUGCUUAAAUAAAGACCAC
rnacentral:lncRNA from 1 species